AACCCACCAUUGGCAAUCAACAGAUUUAAAUAAAAGUGGCAACUUCCCCCAGAAAACCCCACCCUACUCAACUGUUAACCUAAUACCAGAACAUUUCAAGAAAGAUUAAAAGAAAGAGAAGGAACUCGGCAAACAUUAGCCCCGCCUGUUUACCAAAAACACCGCCUCUUGUCCCCCUAUAAGAGGUCUAGCCUGCCCAGUGACUUCUGUUCAACGGCCGCGGUAUCCUAACCGUGCAAAGGUAGCGUAAUCACUUGUCUCCUAAAUAGAGACUAGUAUGAAUGGCAUCACGAGGACUAAGCUGUCUCCUCCCCCUAAUCAGUGAACCUAAUAACCCCGUGAAGAAGCGGGGAUUUUUAUAUAAGACGAGAAGACCCUGUGGAGCUUAAAUCACUAUAACACCUGCCACCUCACCCCAUCUACCCAGGUUUUUCCCCCCCGUGGCACUAUGAUUAUAUGUUUUUGGUUGGGGUGACCGCGGAGAAAAACCUAUCCUCCACAAUGAAAGGGACUUCCCUAAACAGUAAGCUACAACUUUAUGUAUCAGCAAACUGACAUCCAUUGACCCAAUAUACUUGAUUAACGAACCAAGUUACCCCAGGGAUAACAGCGCAAU
rnacentral:rRNA from 1 species